AACUUGGUAAGUGCAGUGUCUUCUGAUUGAUGCUCUUCACAGCAGGUAGAAGCUCAGCAGGAAGGAAAUGUGGCAGGAGCAACCUCGUGGGUGGUUUGUGUUGGUGAAGGAGCUGAGUGUGCAGAGCAUCAGUAAAUGAUGCAGCUCUCUAAAUGCAAAGGGCCUCUGGUUUAUGAAUUUGCAUGGCUGAACUGAGGGGGUCCAGAUGAUGCUGAGGCCCAGGGUGGCUGGUUCCUGUGCAAAUACUUAGCUGAAAAUAUAGAGCUUGCAGCAAAGGAGCUUGUGAUUUAAACAGGCAGAGGGGCCUGAGCUGUGCAUGAGGAGGGGUUGAGCACUGAGGUACUGAGCAAACCAGGGCCUGACCUCUUAUAGAAGAAAUUGUUGAAGUUUCUAUUUUGCAAGGAGAGAUCUCGUUCUCGUUCUUGAUGAAAUCCCCCUAUACUGAGUUCACAACAUCCCAUGAGGGAUGUGCUACUGGCACAGCAGGACGAUGUGUGCAUGUGGUGGAUGGAGAAGUGAUAGUGGAUUUGCUGCCUGUGUCCCAUUGCCUGCCCCUGGGUGUCUGUCAGCCUUCCCAUUGGAAUAAAACACGUGCCAUAGGCCCCAUCCCACAGCCUGCCCCGGGAGAGGAGCCCCCCCACAUGUGGCUUCUGGGGAGGGGGAGAAGCACAACCUUCGUCAAGGAUGAGCUGAUGGUUAAGGAUGCAGCUGAGACCUGGUCAACGUGGUGUAUCACAUCUUGCUUCAUCUGUACCUCUUGGAAUGAACCUGAGCUGAGCCCCGGCUCCAGAUCUUGCAGAUCCCUCCCCAGAAUGGAUCAGAUACUCCCAGCAUUGCUCCAGG